rnacentral:lncRNA from 1 species
GACCAUUGUUACAGCCCAUGCUAAGACUCCUCAAGCCGCAAACGCUUAAUCUAUUAUAGAACCAUCCCAAAGUUCAUAUCCUACUAAUAAAGUUGUUAAAUUUGCAAAAAUAUCUAAAACAAGAAAUCAGAAUCAACUGCUCCGAAGGGAUACAGAACAUAGAAGAGCAAGGCUACUUGUUACAAGUGUGGAGACCGGUACUUCCCA